rnacentral:rRNA from 1 species
UACGGGGGGAGCAAGCGUUGUUCGGAUUUACUGGGCGUAAAGGGCGCGUAGGCGGCCAGCACAAGUCAGUUGUGAAAUCUCCGGGCUUAACUCGGAAAGGUCAACUGAUACUGUGCGGCUAGAGUGCAGAAGGGGCAACUGGAAUUCUCGGUGUAGCGGUGAAAUGCGUAGAUAUCGAGAGGAACACCUGUGGCGAAAGCGGCUCACUGGACCACAACUGACGCUGAGGCGCGAAAGCCAGGGGAGUGAACGGG